AUCCACUAUUCAUUUAUAAUUUUCUUUUCUUAUUAGUUUAAUAUCUGAUAUGUGGAUCAUUGAUGCGCAUCGUAUUAAAUUACUUUUUUGAUGAGAGGGUCUAAACACAAUUGCUUGCUAUUGGAACCCUCAAGUGUCGCCCAUGUGUUGCACUAUGGCCUGACACACCCUUA
rfam:Glycine max cultivar Williams 82 chromosome 13, whole genome shotgun sequence.